rnacentral:tRNA from 1 species
GGCGUUGUGGCUCACUGGUAGAGCACUUGCCUAGCAUGUGUGAGGCACUGGGUUUGAUUCUCAGCACCACCU